rnacentral:rRNA from 1 species
UACGUAGGGUGCGAGCGUUAAUCGGAAUUACUGGGCGUAAAGCGUGCUCAGGCGGUAAGUUAAGUCUGAUGUGAAAGCCCCGGGCUCAACCUGGGAAUGGCAUUGGAAACUGGCUUGCUAGAGUGUGGCAGAGGGGGGUGGAAUUCCGCGUGUAGCAGUGAAAUGCGUAGAUAUCGGGAGGAACACCAGUGGCGAAGGCGACUACCUGGCCUGUUCUUGACGCUGAGGCGCGAAAGCUAGGGGAGCAAACGGG